rnacentral:misc_RNA from 1 species
GAUGAAGAACGCAGCGAAAUGCGAUAAGUAAUGCGAAUUGCAGAAUUCAGUGAGUCAUCGAAUCUUUGAACGCACAUUGCGCCCCCUGGUAUUCCGGGGGGCAUGCCUGUCCGAGCGUCAUUGCUGCCCUCAAGCACGGCUUGUGUGUUGGGCCCCGUCCUCCGAUCCCGGGGGACGGGCCCGAAAGGCAGCGGCGGCACCGCGUCCGGUCCUCGAGCGUAUGGGGCUUUGUCACCCGCUCUGUAGGCCCGGCCGGCGGUUGCCGAUCAACCCAAAUUUUUUAUCCAGGUUGACCUCGGAUCAGGUAGGGAUACCCGCUGAACUUAAGCAUAUCAAUAAGCGGAGGA